GGUGCAAUAGCUCAGUGGUAGAGCACACGAUUGCAAUCUCUAUCAUCGUGUGGUCCCGUGUUCGAACCACGGUUGUACCU